AUUGAACGCUGGCGGCAGGCCUAACACAUGCAAGUCGAGCGGAUGAAGGGAGCUUGCUCCUGGAUUCAGCGGCGGACGGGUGAGUAAUGCCUAGGAAUCUGCCUGGUUGUGGGGGAUAACGUCCGGAAACGGGCGCUAAUACCGCAUACGUCCUGAGGGAGAAAGUGGGGGAUCUUCGGACCUCACGCUAUCAGAUGAGCCUAGGUCGGAUUAGCUAGUUGGUGGGGUAAGGGCCUACCAAGGCGACGAUCCGUAACUGGUCUGAGAGGAUGAUCAGUCACACUGGAACUGAGACACGGUCCAGACUACUACGGGAGGCAGCAGUGGGGAAUAUUGGACAAUGGGCGAAAGCCUGAUCCAGCCAUGCCGCGUGUGUGAAGAAGGUCUUCGGAUUGUAAAGCACUUUAAGUUGGGAGGAAGGGCAGUAAGUUAAUACCUUGCUGUUUUGACGGUACCAACAGAAUAAGCACCGGCUAACUUCGUG
rnacentral:rRNA from 1 species